GCCUGCGCGGUAGUGGGACCCGACCCUGUCUCCAGUGGGCGUCUUGGGCCCCGGCUCUAUUCUGGGCUGCGGGCCUGGGAAGGGCUCGCCGGGUGCCAAAUGAGCUGUCCUAACUCUGCGGGGCUGCAGCUUCCUGCAUGAUGCUGGGGAGCUUGGCGCCUGACCCAGGAUCUAGAAGGCACUCUGGGCAGGCCGCGCUCCGCCCACGAAGGUUUAACCACCAAGGACUCUGAGAGCUGGCAGGUCUGAGUAACCCUGGUAACAAUUCUCUUCACCUUAUCAAAACCUGAGCUAAAACCAAUGCAUCAGCUGAUGAUGACAGCAGAGAGUGGCAGGGCUGAGGACCCAAAGUCAUUUCCCAGGCUGGCGGAGAAUAAACUGCCAGGGAGAAGAAUGAGAAGACAGGAGACAAACUGUUUGGAAAGCUAAAUCUUCCCUCUUAAUGAAUAAAGGUUUUUGCCUUGUCUU
rnacentral:lncRNA from 1 species